rnacentral:lncRNA from 1 species
CUUCAGCUGCUAGCGGUCCAUCACGUCCAUUGAACCGUGGCGGAUUAUUGUUCCGAAAUCGCUCUACCGCUUGAUCUAUCGUGUUAGAGGUCUGGUUUAGGUCACGUUGUGUGGCCUGAGUUUGGGUUUGGUGCUGGACAAAACCCUGUAAAGCACUCAGAAAUUGACCCAUGAAGUCUCCUCCAUUAGUUGGAUGAGGUUGUUCUGCUUCUGCUUCGGAAUUGGUAUUUGAGUUCUCGGCGUGGUGGGAAUGUGCACGCGUAUUCCUCAUGGUUCUAUAAUCAAAGGCACUAUGACAUAAAUGAAAGAUUAUAAAACAAGGUUAUUCCUAAUUCGAGGACUAUGUUCAACAUGAAAAUUUUAAACUCAUCAAAACUCAAUAUCAUGCACUGUAAAAUUCCGAAAUAAAAUUCAUGGCUGCAAUAAUUUUCAACAUAAUAACUUGCAUACUGAACUUGAACUUUCUGAUAAUAACUUCAACUAUUGCAGCAAAAUUCAACAUAAAUUUCGGAAUAUAAACAGUUUAUACUCAUCCCCUUGAAAACUUUUAAAAUAACUUUUACCUUGAAGUCGGAGCGCGUAGUGGUCGAAUGGCUUCGUCACAAAUGACUUGAAAAUAUUUUAAGAAAAACAUUUUAUUUUGCAGAGUCUACAGGAAAGUAGACCUGCUCUGAUACCAUGCUGUAACACCCUAAUCUAAUUAAAGUGUUAAAUAUGAAUUUAAAUAAUUUUUGACAGCGAAAAUAUCAUAAAAUAAAGAUUUGGAUUUAUUUUCAAAUAAAUAAAUUUUUAAAUAAAAUAUUUGAAAUAACUUAAAAAGAAGGCCAGCCAUGAUAGGAAGCUAAUAUGAUAACACUAAACUCGAUAAGUUACACCAAAAUCUCAAGAGUAGUUUGAGACUUCGAAAACUGUACAAAGCAAAAGGUUAGGUGUAACUACAACAUUAUAUUUUCCAAAAAUAUUUACUUGACGCGCUCAUUCGAUCCUCUACGCGUCUCCAACCUUAGUUACCUGAAAAUGUUAAAUAUGGGAUGAGCAUAUGAAAUAUACUCAGUGUGGGAACAUGCAAUAAUUGUCCACGUUAAUAAAAUGGUCAACACAUAAGCACUGCACUGUAAUACUGAUAACUGAAAUUCGCACGGUGGCAUACCAAGGACUUUAAAGUCCUGGACCCAUUGAGUGGGCCCCUGGCGAAUAGGUUGCAACCCUAACUGUAACAUGAAAUCGCAUUGUGGCAUACCAAGGACGGUGAAGUCCUGGACCCAUUGAGCGGGCCCCUAGCGAUAUAACUGAAUUUACAACACAUAUGGCAAACACAUAAUAUUAAAAUGGACAAAAAUUACCACGGCAUGUACUGAAUAAAUCCCACACCUGUAACUUGAACUUGAAAAUUACUGCUAGAAAUGUAAAGUUCACGUUCCUAGUCGCGCCGCACCUAGUCAGAUAAAUUCAAAUAGUAACAUAAGGGCCUAAUUGAACUUUACAAAAUACCUUAAUAUAACUAAACUUGAGAAAACUAAUUUAUAAAAGUCUUUUCAAUAAAAUUUGAACUGAAAAAAAAUGAUUAAUUAAAUAAAUUAUAAUUGCUACUUAGAAGAGUAAUUAAAAUAAAAACCCAAUUGAUUAUUAUAAUUAAGGCCCAACCACUUAAUAAACUGAGCCCAAUUAAUUAAAACUAACCUAAGCCCAAGCCCCAAGCCCACUAUCAACCUCUAAUUUAAACUCACACCCAACUCCACUCCACACAUUCACACGCAGCUCACUCCCUCUCUCCCUUCCUCCCUCGGCCUUCUUCCUCUCGGCCUCUUGCCGCCGCACCUCCGGACGGCAGCGCCGUCAGCGCAGACCGGCGGCUCCGCCGCCUCUCCCUCUUCUUCCUAUCUCCCUCUUCCCUCACUCUCACUCCCUCUGUCCCUCUCCUCACCGCGUCUCCCCCUUCUCCGGCGACCCUCGCCGUCUGCCAGCACCUCCUCCUGGCCGUCAGCAGCGGCACCCUUGUCGCCGCCGUGUCGACAGCACAAGCCGGUCAGGCCGCCUUCUCCCUCUUCCUGAAAAGAGACGCACAGCCGAGACCAUAGCGCCGCCGCCCUGCUCCUUCCGCCACCACCCCCUGCUUCCUUCCGCCGGCCGCCAUGGCGCGCAGCGCCGGCGGUACUGCUGCUCAACCACCCCUCCCCCUGUUCUAAGCCACAACCCCCUUUCCAGUUCAUUCUUUCUAUUUUCCUUUUCUUCUUGUAAAGCAGUGAAUAUGCAUGUUUGAAUUAGAAAAAAAAUAAGAACUUUUGUGGGUGUUUGGUUUUGUGCAGAGAUGAACAACAGUAAAUGAAAUAACUUUGUAAAAUCAAUUAAAAUUUACCAGCUUGGAUUCUGUAAUGAGAGAUGGAAAUGGGUUUGUAUGCUGUAGGCGAAACAGACGAGGAAAAGGCGAAUUGGGGGACGAUGAUUUGAGGUUAAAUAGAGCUGCAAGAUUAAGUUUUUACCACAAAAAUGAAACGUGAGCUGCUUGUUCACGUAAGAAAAUUUGUGGAUGAUAAAGGAACCAAAAUUGUGGUUGAGAAAACUGGACGUGCUCCCCAAG